UAUGUUAGCGGCUGCGCAAGACAGCAUGGCGUUCCCUGUUUUAUUUGUCCCGAAUCCACAAGGGGGCGGCAAUGUUGCGCAGGUGACUAACCUUGAUUGGAAGCUGUUAGCGCAGCUAAGAGCAACGGUGGGGAAUUACGGUGUCACCAGUGAACCAGUUAAACAGAUGCUUGAUUAUAUUUUUAACGCUUUUACCCUUCUUCCUGCUGACAUUAAAGGCAUUACUAAGCUCACGUAUACCUCGCAUCAGCGACUGCUUUUUGAGGCUCGCUGGAGGGAGGAAGCCGCUAUUACUGCUGCUGUCCCCAGGCCAGCGGCAGAUCCCUUGACAGGUGUUACAGUAGCUGAGCUCAUGGGUGAAGGGGAUCACAUGAGAGUAGAAGCUCAAGCGGCACUAGGACCUGCCAAGCUACGGGAAGCUAUGGCAGUUGCUAAGAAAGCCAUGGAUAAGGUCCGAGCCCCAGGUGGAAUCCCAAUGUAUAUGAGCAUUAAACAAGGCAGAGAGGAGUCUCUAGGCUCUUUUGUUGACAAAGUUAUGGAAGCUAUUUCAAAAGCUGGGGUUCAAGAGCAUAUGCAUGACCCGUUGCUUAAACAAUGCCUUUUACAAAAUGGCAAUCAGGCCACCCAUGCCCUUAUUACUUCCACUCCAGGGGAUUGGACUGUCCAGCAACUUUUAGAAAAAGCUGCGACCAUGCCCACUGGCUCGCAACUAUUCUUAGUACAAGCCUUAGAAAAAUUAGGUGAAGGGCUUAAAGAACAGGCUAUCAGCUCUCAAAAUCAGGUUAUGGCAGCCCUUGCUCCUCUCCAAGCGGCAGCAGCACGUCCCCGCCCAGCUCCAGGUGACCGCAUGAAGUGUUAGCGCUGCGAGACACCCGGUCACAUUCGUCGAAUUCGUUGGAAUUUAUGGGGGCGCUACAACCUGGUCUCCCCAAUCCGGCUAUGUUGCCCCAAAACUGGCCUCUUUUAAUUAUAGAUCUCAAGGACUGCUUUUUCACUAUUCCAUUGCAUCCAGAUGACACCAAGCGCUUCGCCUUUACCUUACCUGCCCUGAAUAAAGGAGAACCAGCUAGGCGAUUUGAAUGGACUGUAUUGCCACAAGGGAUGAAAAACUCACCUACUUUGUGCCAACUGUCCCCUAUGGGUUCCAGCCAAAUGGACUAAGCCUGUUGUCACUGAUGAGCAACCCACAACAGAGGAAGGCAAGGAGAGUACAGAGGAAGAUCUCACAAAUCCUGCAGGAAGUUGAGCAACGGUUUCGCGUUACCUUCCUUGUGGAAUCUGAACAGGAGAUAGAAGAUCAUCUCCUUCCACAUCUGCAGAGACACUUUAUACGCUUUUGCCAAUCUGCUUGCUUUGCAUGUAAUUGUAGUAAUCAUAAGGCGUGGGUAAGAUUGUUUUGCGGAGGUUGUAAUUUACAGUGGUGGGUCCACCAGCGACAUCUAUCAGAAGGGUUUUGGUGUCAGUCUUGCAGUUUUCACUGGCACCGUGAGACGGCUCAAGGAGCAUUGGUACAACUCACAGGCAAAAAUAUCAUUGACAGUUUGCAAUUAGUUGAAAAUCUUGAGGAUCUGAGACUGCGAGAACUUGCGUGGUCGGUACAGCAUUUAGCAAAAAAGAUCCUAGCAGAUAGUUACUCUGUAGUUUUGCAAUCCUCCUGCCAAUUAAAUAUUGGGGUCCCCAUUCAGUGGCAAGUUGAACCAAGAAAGUGGGAUCAUGUUUGCCGGCGGUUUAAGCAUCGUGCUGCUAAUCGCAGGCUCAGUAAUGGGUCACAACCUUCCCUACCCUCCUAAGGUGUUUGACCCUAGAGAUAAUAUCUGGGUCUCCUUGGCACGCGAAUUAAACACCACAACAUUCUGUGCCUCCUUAGCCACACCCAGUACUCCAUUUUUGACAUGCUUAGUUGGAGUACCAUUAACAGAUAAUACAUGGCGCAACUUUGUAAUCGAGACCCAGAAGCAGCUCAAACCUAUUUGGCAGUUGAAUUCCACAAAAAAUAUUACUCAUGGCCUACUAGACUAUGAUAUCUGGGAUGAUAGACUCCCGGUGGGCCCUGAGCCAAAAGAAAUAGAACUAGUUGAUUCCCUUAACGCUACAGCCUGUAUCUAUAUUAAUAGUUCACGCAAUUUAUGCCAAGAGGGCAGCCUUGGUGGCUGUCAAAUGAAUACAUCCAACCCCACCUGGAUUAAUCCUGCUGGCAAUGUUUCACAGUGGGACUUAGAAUGGUGCAACGUUACCGUGAGAAAUCGAUCUCUUGCAGCCCCUGGAACGUUUUUCCCUCGAAAGUUACCCAGAGGGUUUUUCCUAAUUUGUGGGAAUCGUGCCUGGUCAGGUAUCCCAUCCAAGCCUAUAGGCGGGCCCUGUACCUUUGGCCAACUGAGUCUUGCACUUCCACAGCACCAUCCUAAUGCUACACACCGAAUACGAUGGAAGAGGUCUUUAGCAGAAACUAUAACAUCUGAUUGUGAGGAUGACCUCACGCUGUGGAGCAAAUUAGAAGUGCUUUUUACCUCCCUUUUUGUUCCUGGUGCAGCUGCGGCAUGAGCCCAUUGUCACUUAGAAAAACUGACAUGUUGGGUAGUUAAACAAGCAAACGGUACCAGCCGAGUGUUGUCUGAACUUGCAGAAGACCUGAGUUCAGUCCAACACGCCCUGCUUCAAAAUAGAGCGGCUAUAGAUUUUUUACUCUUAGCCCACGGCCAUGGCUGUGAAGACUUUGAAGGAAUGUGCUGCAUGGAUCUUGAGGAUCAUUCUAAGUCCAUCCACGCCGAAAUUAAGAAUUUGAUUGAACACUCCCAAAAGAUAAAAAAGGACUCCGGAUUUUUCAGAUUAGAAGGACUUACAGAGUGGAUGGGCUUAGAAGGAUGGAUGAAAAGUGUGAUCAAAUCUUUAAUGCUAUUGCUAAUUAUUGUUUUUCUUGGUUUACUUAUGCUUAGCUGUAUAACGUCAUGUGUAAAAAAUUUAAUUUUGAAGUCAGUCAAUAUGACUAUGAUCAUGCAAAAAGAAAACGGGGGAAGUGUUGAGAGUCUUUCUGAAGAAUGGCUAAAAAGCAAAGGUCAUGAUGACACAGUAGGAUUGAUAAAGAUGCAGACUUGGCAAGGAUACUAAAUCCUUGUGCAAGGAGUUGUAUAAACAACAGGAUGUGAGUCCAGAUAA